rnacentral:rRNA from 1 species
GGCUCAGAUUGAACGCUGGCGGCAUGCCUUACACAUGCAAGUCGAACGGCAGCACGGGAGCUUGCUCCUGGUGGCGAGUGGCGAACGGGUGAGUAAUACAUCGGAACGUACCCUGAAGUGGGGAUAACGUAGCGAAAGUUACGCUAAUACCGCAUAUUCUGUGAGCAGGAAAGAGGGGGAUCGCAAGACCUCUUGCUUUAGGAGCGGCCGAUGUCGGAUUAGCUAGUUGGUGAGGUAAAGGCUCACCAAGGCGACGAUCCGUAGCGGGUCUGAGAGGAUGAUCCGCCACACUGGGACUGAGACACGGCCCAGACUCCUACGGGAGGCAGCAGUGGGGAAUUUUGGACAAUGGGCGCAAGCCUGAUCCAGCCAUGCCGCGUGAGUGAAGAAGGCCUUCGGGUUGUAAAGCUCUUUCGGUGGGGAAGAAAUUGCACAGGAUAAUACCUUGUGUAGAUGACGGUACCCGCAUAAGAAGCACCGGCUAACUACGUG